GCCCAGUAGCGGCGAGUGAAGCGGCAAGAGCUCAGAUUUGAAAUCGUGUUUCGGCACGAGUUGUAGAGUGUAGGCGGGAGUCUCUGUGGAGCGCGGUGUCCAAGUCCCUUGGAACAGGGUGCCUGAGAGGGUGAGAGCCCCGUAGGGUGCUGCGCGAAGCUUUUGAGGCCCUGCUGACGAGUCGAGUUGUUUGGGAAUGCAGCUCCAAGCGGGUGGUAAAUUCCAUCUAAGGCUAAAUAUUGGCGAGAGACCGAUAGCGAACAAGUACUGUGAAGGAAAGAUGAAAAGCACUUUGAAAAGAGAGUGAAACAGCACGUGAAAUUGUUGAAAGGGAAGGGUAUUGGGCUCGACAUGGGGGGUGCGCACCGCUGUCUCUUGUAGGCGGCGCUCUGGGCGCCCUCUGGGCCAGCAUCGGUUCCUGCUGCGGGAGAAGGGGCUCCGGAAAGUGGCUCUUCGGAGUGUUAUAGCCGGGGCCAGAUGCCGCGUGUGGGGACCGAGGACUGCGGCUUCUGUCUCGGAUGCUGGCAUAACGGCGCAAUACCGCCCGUCUUGA
rnacentral:rRNA from 1 species